rnacentral:rRNA from 1 species
ACGAACGCUGGCGGCGUGCUUAACACUUGCAAGUCGCACGGAAAGGCCCUGCUUUUGUGGGGUGCUCGAGUGGCGAACGGGUGAGUAACACGUGAGUAACCUGCCCUUGACUUUGGGAUAACUUCAGGAAACUGGGGCUAAUACCGGAUAGGAGCUCCUGCUGCAUGGUGGGGGUUGGAAAGUUUCGGCGGUUGGGGAUGGACUCGCGGCUUAUCAGCUUGUUGGUGGGGUAGUGGCUUACCAAGGCUUUGACGGGUAGCCGGCCUGAGAGGGUGACCGGCCACAUUGGGACUGAGAUACGGCCCAGACUCCUACGGGAGGCAGCAGUGGGGAAUAUUGCACAAUGGGCGGAAGCCUGAUGCAGCAACGCCGCGUGCGGGAUGACGGCCUUCGGGUUGUAAACCGCUUUCGCCUGUGACGAAGCGUGAGUGACGGUAAUGGGUAAAGAAGCACCGGCUAACUACGUG